GUGAACGCUGGCGGUAGGCCUAACACAUGCAAGUCGAACGGCAGCACAGCAAGAGCUUGCUCUUACGGGUGGCGAGUGGCGGACGGGUGAGGAAUACAUCGGAAUCUACUUUUUCGUGGGGGAUAACGUAGGGAAACUUACGCUAAUACCGCAUACGACCUACGGGUGAAAGCAGGGGAUCUUCGGACCUUGCGCGAUUGAAUGAGCCGAUGUCGGAUUAGCUAGUUGGCGGGGUAAAGGCCCACCAAGGCGACGAUCCGUAGCUGGUCUGAGAGGAUGAUCAGCCACACUGGAACUGAGACACGGUCCAGACUCCUACGGGAGGCAGCAGUGGGGAAUAUUGGACAAUGGGCGCAAGCCUGAUCCAGCCAUACCGCGUGGGUGAAGAAGGCCUUCGGGUUGUAAAGCCCUUUUGUUGGGAAAGAAAAGCAGCAGGUUAAUACCCCGCUGUUCUGACGGUACCCAAAGAAUAAGCACCGGCUAACUUCGUG
rnacentral:rRNA from 1 species